rnacentral:misc_RNA from 1 species
AAGUCGUAACAAGGUUUCCGUAGGUGAACCUGCGGAAGGAUCAUUAACACGAAUUUUAUCCAAUAUCAAAACAAACCGUGAACUUUUCCCCUCCCUAUUUUGGUUUUUAACAACACCAAAUAGGCUAAAUUUUUUAAAACUUAUUUUUAACCACUUUAAUUUUUCAGUCUGUUGAUGUUUAAUCGCAUCAUAAAGGCUUACUAAACUAAAACAUUUACUUAGGGCUUAAUGUCCUAAUUAGAUAUUUUUCUUUACGAAAUAAAUUUUACUUAUAAGAACAACUCUUAGCAAUGGAUAUCUUGGUUCUC